GUGCUCGCUUUGACAGCACAUAUACUAAGAUUGGAACAAUACAGAGAAGAUUAGAAUGGCCCCUGAGCAAGGAUGACACAUAAAUUCAUGAAGCGUUUCCUAUUUUU
ensembl:snRNA LOC120095811 U6 spliceosomal RNA